UACGUAGGUGGCAAGCGUUGUCCGGAUUUAUUGGGUUUAAAGGGUGCGUAGGCGGCCCUGUAAGUCAGUAAUGAAAUACUCCAGCUUAACUAAAAAAAUGCCAUUAAUACUGCAAAGCUUGAGUAAAGUUGAAGUUGGCGGAAUUGACGGUGUAGCGGUGAAAUGCUUAGAUAUCGUCAAGAACACCGAUAGUGAAGACAGCUAACUAAGCUUUAACUGACGCUGAGGCACGAAAGUGUGGGGAUCAAACAGG
rnacentral:rRNA from 1 species